rnacentral:piRNA from 1 species
GAAACCUGUCAAAAGAUCUUUUAUAAAGCCA